CGAGCGCUUCCCUUCGGGGAGGAGCGGCGGACGGGUUAGUAACGCUGUGGGAACAUACCCUUUUCUACGGAAUAGCCUCGGGAAACUGAGAGUAAUACCGUAUACGCCCUUCGGGGGAAAGAUUUAUCGGUUAAGGAUUGGCCCGCGUUAGAUUAGAUAGUUGGUGGGGUAAUGGCCUACCAAGUCUACGAUCUAUAGCUGGUUUGAGAGGAUGAUCAGCAACACUGGGACUGAGACACGGCCCAGACUCCUACGGGAGGCAGCA
rnacentral:rRNA from 1 species